CCUACGGGGUGCUGCAGUCGAGAAUCAUUCACAAUGGGGGAAACCCUGAUGGUGCGACGCCGCGUGGGGGAAUGAAGGUCUUCGGAUUGUAAACCCCUGUCAUGUGGGAGCAAAUUAAAAAGAUAGUACCACAAGAGGAAGAGACGGCUAACUCUGUGCCAGCAGCCGCGGUAAUACAGAGGUCUCAAGCGUUGUUCGGAAUCACUGGGCGUAAGGCGUGCGUAGGCUGUUUCGUAAGUCGUGUGUGAAAGGCGCGGGCUCAACCCGCGGACGGCACAUGAGACUGCGAGACUAGAGUAAUGGAGGGGGAACCGGAAUUCUCGGUGUAGCAGUGAAAUGCGUAGAUAUCGAGAGGAACACUCGUGGCGAAGGCGGGUUCCUGGACAUUAACUGACGCUGAGGCACGAAGGCCAGGGGAGCGAAAGGGAUUAGAUACCCCAGUAGUC
rnacentral:rRNA from 1 species